GCAUAAUGCAUCUCUCGGGUGUGCCCCCAAUCUCUACUCUCUGCAAGUGUGUGUAUAUAUAUAUAUAUAUAUAUAUAAUAUACACACACUUGCAGAGAGUAGAGAUUGGGGGCACACCCGAGAGAUGCAUUAUGCAAG
rnacentral:miRNA from 1 species